CAACAAACCAGUUCAAAACCUACAUAUGCAGAGUCUUAAAAUAGCUGCCACCACCGAUGCCCUCUUUCUUCUGUCUUCAGCUUGUACCUGAUCAUGUGAAAGGCUGUGGGUCAGACCUCUCUUCCAGCACACGCAUGACAGGGGUCUACAUGGGACCCCACUACCAGCCAGCCACUACUGAGCUAUCACGUGGCCUUGGCCAAGCCGCUGACCUCCUUUAGGGCUCAGUGGCCCCAUCUGUCAAAUGGACAUAUUAAUAGUUCUCAUCUUACAGAGUCGUUAUGAGGAUGACAUGAAGGAAUCCAUGUAAGAUACUUAGCUCAGUACCUGGAAUUUGCAUGUGUUCAAUAAAUG
rnacentral:lncRNA from 10 species